GAUGAACGCUGGCGGCGUGCCUAACACAUGCAAGUCGAACGGACUCAUAUUGAAACCUAGUGAAGUAUGAGUUAGUGGCGGACGGGUGAGUAACGCGUGGAAAACCUGCCGUAUACUGGGGGAUAACACUUAGAAAUAGGUGCUAAUACCGCAUAAGCGCACAGCUUCGCAUGAAGCAGUGUGAAAAACUGAGGUGGUAUACGAUGGUUCCGCGUCUGAUUAGCUAGUUGGUGGGGUAAAAGCCUACCAAGGCAACGAUCAGUAGCCGGCCUGAGAGGGUGAACGGCCACAUUGGGACUGAGACACGGCCCAA
rnacentral:rRNA from 1 species